AGCGAACGCUGGCGGCAGGCUUAACACAUGCAAGUCGAGCGGGCCCUUCGGGGUCAGCGGCAGACGGGUGAGUAACACGUGGGGACGUACCCUUUGGUUCGGAAUAACGCUGGGAAACUAGCGCUAAUACCGGAUACGCCCUUUUGGGGAAAGGCUUGCUGCCGAAGGAUCGGCCCGCGUCUGAUUAGCUAGUUGGUGGGGUAAUGGCCUACCAAGGCGACGAUCAGUAGCUGGUCUGAGAGGAUGAUCAGCCACACUGGGACUGAGACACGGCCCAGACUCCUACGGGAGGCAGCAGUGGGGAAUAUUGGACAAUGGGCGCAAGCCUGAUCCAGCCAUGCCGCGUGAGUGAUGAAGGCCUUAGGGUUGUAAAGCUCUUUUGUCCGGGACGAUAAUGACGGUACCGGAAGAAUAAGCCCCGGCUAACUUCGUG
rnacentral:rRNA from 1 species